rnacentral:rRNA from 1 species
GAUGAACGCUGGCGGCGUGCCUAACACAUGCAAGUCGAGCGAUUCUCUUCGGAGAAGAGCGGCGGACGGGUGAGUAACGCGUGGGUAACCUGCCCUGUACACACGGAUAACAUACCGAAAGGUAUGCUAAUACGGGAUAAUAUGCUUUAGUCGCAUGGCUGAAGUAUCAAAGCUCCGGCAGUACAGGAUGGACCCGCGUCUGAUUAGCUAGUUGGUAAGGUAACGGCUUACCAAGGCGACGAUCAGUAGCCGACCUGAGAGGGUGAUCGGCCACAUUGGAACUGAGACACGGUCCAAACUCCUACGGGGGGCAGCAGUGGGGAAUAUUGCACAAUGGGCGAAAGCCUGAUGCAGCAACGCCGCGUGAGCGAUGAAGGCCUUCGGGUCGUAAAGCUCUGUCCUCAAGGAAGAUAAUGACGGUACUUGAGGAGGAAGCCCCGGCUAACUACGUGCCAGCCGCCGCCGUAA